CGAGCAAUAGGUCAUUUUUAAAAUGAAGAAAUAUGGUGUUAGUGCUUGGUCAUUAGCAGGUGAUUAGAUCAUCUAAAUUUAUAAAAUUCACAGAUAAAAGGGUUAGUUUUUUAAAGAAACUGUAAUGCUGAUUUGUCUACUUUAACAGCAUGUGCAUGCUAGUCACAUAUUGUUAGAGACAGUAUUCUCUUUUGUUUGUUUGUUUUUGAGACAACCUCCUCCUCCCUGGUUCAAAUGAUUCUUAUGCUUUAGCUUACAGAGCAGCGGGGAUUACAGACACAUGCUAACACACCCAACUAAUUUUGGGAUAUUUAGUAGAGACCUGGUUUCACCUUGUCUGCCAGGCUACUCUUGAACAUCUGACCUCAAAUGAUCCUCCCAUCUCAGCCUCCCAAGGUGCUGGGAUUACAGAUCUCAAUGAAAAUUAUGAAAGCAUUCCCUUUGAAGGAAAUUAGAGGUCAUUUCUCAGAAUCAGGUAUCCACACCGAAACCUGUAAGUCGUGACUAGAAUCACUUUGUGUCCACAGGGAAGGUUAGAGUGCAAUGAGAGGAUCAUGGAUCACUGUAGCCUUGAUGUCCUGGGCUCAAGCAAUUCUCCUACCUCAGCCUCUCAAGAAGCUGGGAAUACAGAUGUGCUCCAUCACAGAAUUUUUUUUUUUUUAAUUUUCUAUUGAAACAGGGUUUCAUG
rnacentral:lncRNA from 1 species